rnacentral:lncRNA from 1 species
UAAUGAUCUAAAAAAGAUGAAGGAAUGAGUAAUGCCCAAUAAAGAAAUAAUAGUGCUCUAAACUUGGUUAUCCAUUAGUUGCUAAGGAGAACGCAAGAUUCAACAAUAAGCAGCACAUAGACUAGAGCAUGCUAUCACAUAAAUCACUCCACUGUCAUACUUAUUCACAUUCUUAUGCACCACAAAUAAAGCACAAUAAUAUCAGCACCCGACCCUUAUUCAAUUGACCAAACCAAGAUAUGAAGCAAACCACACACACACACACACACACACACACACACACACACACACACACACACAGUUUCCCAUCGAGUCACAAGCUGGUUCGAUCGAGUCACUUUCGGAAUCCCUCAUCCGGACUUUCAUGGAAUCCUUACUGUGGGCAUCUCACUCUAAGGCAUCUUAGUAUCAUACAACUAAGGCAUCCCAUGAUCACAUGGCAGGGGCAUCUCACUCUAAGGCACCCCGAUAUCACAUAAUUGAGAUAUCGCUGAUCACAUAGUAAGGGCAUCUCACUCUGAGGCAUCCUAAUAUCGCAUACAACCGAGGUAUCAAAGAUCACAUAGUAUGGACAUCCCACUCCUCGAGGCAUCAUCGACAUCACAACACCUUCAGUUUAUUCCACACAUUUCAUGCGUCACACCUUAGAAUAAUCCUACCACAACAACAUGCUUACCAACUCAUUGCACAUGACAAAUCUCACUUCAUACUAGUCCACUGUCAGGUUGUUCUGAUUCAAUUGCAUAAACUCCAUCACUUUCUUAUCUAGAGUGUAGUCUAAAAAAUGUUUUCCAAAGAAGGUACCAACAAACCCAGUCCAAGUUGCCUUUGUAUCUUUAGGGAAUAUCAUUCUUUUCGUUGCUCUUCACUAAUGAUCAUCGUUUCCCUGAAGCUGGUAUUCUACUAGGGAUACCUUUUUUGCAUCUGUGUAGUUCAACAGUGCGAAUAUCUUUUCCAUUUCAUCUACCCAUAACUCUGCUUUCGUAGGAUCUCCUAAUUUAGCAAAUUUUGACAACUUCAACUUUAAAAACUGCUCUACUAAUCCCUAUAUUCUGUGUUCAUCACCUGCCUAUUGUUGGGCUAGUCUUUCCAAUAAGGCUCUCACAUUAGCAAGUGUUUGUAAAAUUCCUUGCAUAUGAGUUUCUACCGUUGAGUAAGACCCACCUGCAGCAUUCCCUAUCCGGUUCCACUCAUUCUAGCAUCUCUUAAUUUUUGCACAUUGGUCACUAACUAUUAGUUGACCGAGCACUCUUACAUAACUAAUAAGCAACAAUUGUCACAAUUGUCAUUAAUACACUAUAAGUAAUAGAAGUUACUGGUUCUCUUUAAAGUAAUAACAACAGUAAAAGAAAAUUAACAUCGCGCAUUAGUCCUAUCUAUUCCUAUCACUAGUGCACCUUAUCAUUCUAGGUAUAAUGUGACACCCUAGAUUUUUUGAUCCUAGAAUUAUGAACAGAUCGGUAUGGGUUUAGAAUAUUGGAAGUGGG